CCCCCCUCGAGGUCCGCCGAAAAUGUCCGGGGCUGAAACACGACACCGAAGCACAGGAUACCGCAAGGUAUGGUAGAGGAGCAUUGCUGGCGCGAUGAAGCAGUACCGGAAGGAGCUGUGGAGUGCCAGGAAGAGAGAAUGCCGGAAUGAGUAGCGAGAGAGAGGUGGGAAUCCUCUCGGCCGAAUAUCCAAGGUUUCCAGGGUAAAGCUGAUCUGCCCUGGGUAAGUCGGGGCCUAAGGAGAGGCAGAAAUGCGUAUCCGAUGGACAGCAGGUUGAGAUUCCUGCACUAUCUUAAAACAGAACUGUGGGGACAUUUGUGGAGAGCACAGGCGCGGAACGGAAAGCCGCGUGCAAGCGAAGGAGGAGUCACAUAGGAAAAACCGUGUGGCAAUCCAAAGGCGUGAUGCGGACCGAACUAAAGUAGGGAAGUGUGUGAGCCAUGAAUCAAGAAAAGCCGCUAUUGUUUUUAAGAUCCGUACCGUAAACCGACACAGGUGGAUGAGGAGAGAAUCCUAAGGCCGGCGGAAGAAGCAUUGUUAAGGAACUCGGCAAAAUGACCCCGUAACUUCGGGAGAAGGGGUGCCAACGAGAGUUGGCCGCAGAGAAUAGGCUCAAGCAACUGUUUAGCAAAAACACAGGUCUAUGCAAAACCGAAAGGUGAGGUAUAUGGGCUGACGCCUGCCCGGUGCUGGAAGGUUAAGAGGAGAGGUUAGCGCAAGCGAAGCUUUGAAUUUAAGCCCCAGUAAACGGCGGCCGUAACUAUAACGGUCCUAAGGUAGCGAAAUUCCUUGUCGGGUAAGUUCCGACCCGCACGAAAGGCGUAAUGAUUUGGGCACUGUCUCAACGAUACACCCGGUGAAAUUGAAAUACCAGUGAAGAUGCUGGUUACCUGCGCCAGGACGGAAAGACCCCAUGGAGCUUUACUCCAGUUUGAUACUGGGAUUCGGCAUGGUAUGUACAGGAUAGGUGGGAGACUGAGAAGGUAUGACGUCAGUUGUACCGGAGUCGCUGUUGGGAUACCACCCUUACCAUGUUGGAUUUCUAACCUGUGGCCGUAAGCCGGUCAGGGGACAAUGUCAGGCGGGGAGUUUGACUGGGGCGGUCGCCUCCGAAAGGGUAUCGGAGGCGCUCAAAGGUUCCCUCAGAAUGGUCGGAAACCAUUCGAAGAGUGCAAAGGCAGAAGGGAGCUUGACUGCGACACCGACGGGUGGAGCAGGUACGAAAGUAGGACUUAGUGAUCCGGUGGUAUUAAGUGGGAAUGCCAUCGCUCAACGGAUAAAAGCUACCCUGGGGAUAACAGGCUUAUCACUCCCAAGAGUUCACAUCGACGGAGUGGUUUGGCACCUCGAUGUCGGCUCAUCGCAUCCUGGGGCUGUAGUAGGUCCCAAGGGUUGGGCUGUUCGCCCAUUAAAGCGGUACGCGAGCUGGGUUCAGAACGUCGUGAGACAGUUCGGUCCCUAU
rnacentral:rRNA from 1 species